rnacentral:rRNA from 1 species
UACGAAGGGGGCUAGCGUUGCUCGGAAUCACUGGGCGUAAAGCGCACGUAGGCGGCUUCUUAAGUCAGGGGUGAAAUCCUGGAGCUCAACUCCAGAACUGCCUUUGAUACUGAAGAUCUUGAGUUCGGGAGAGGUGAGUGGAACUGCGAGUGUAGAGGUGAAAUUCGUAGAUAUUCGCAAGAACACCAGUGGCGAAGGCGGCUCACUGGCCCGAUACUGACGCUGAGGCACGAAAGCGUGGGGAGCAAACAGG